rnacentral:tRNA from 1 species
UCCCUAGUAGCUCAGCUGGUGAAGAAUCUGCCUGCAAUGCAGGAGACCCAGAUUCAAUUCCUGGGUCGGGAA